rnacentral:rRNA from 1 species
CCUACGGGAGGCAGCAGUGGGGAAUUUUGGACAAUGGGCGAAAGCCUGAUCCAGCAAUGCCGCGUGAGUGAAGAAGGCCUUCGGGUUGUAAAGCUCUUUUGUCAGGGAAGAAACGGUGAGAGCUAAUAUCUCUUGCUAAUGACGGUACCUGAAGAAUAAGCACUGGCUAACUACGUGCCAGCAGCCGCGGUAAUACGUAGGGUGCAAGCGUUAAUCGGAAUUACUGGGCGUAAAGCGUGCGCAGGCGGUUUUGUAAGUCUGAUGUGAAAUCCCCGGGCUCAACCUGGGAAUUGCAUUGGAGACUGCAAGGCUAGAAUCUGGCAGAGGGGGGUAGAAUUCCACGUGUAGCAGUGAAAUGCGUAGAUAUGUGGAGGAACACCGAUGGCGAAGGCAGCCCCCUGGGUCAAGAUUGACGCUCAUGCACGAAAGCGUGGGGAGCAAACAGGAUUAGAUACCCUGGUAGUCCACGCCCUAAACGAUGUCUACUAGUUGUCGGGUCUUAAUUGACUUGGUAACGCAGCUAACGCGUGAAGUAGACCGCCUGGGGAGUACGGUCGCAAAGAUUAAAAACGUCAAAAUGAAAUUGACCGG